UACAGAGGGUGCGAGCGUUGUCCGGAAUCACUGGGCGUAAAGGGCGCGUAGGUGGCGGCCCGAGUCCAUGGUGAAAGCUCGAUGCUCAACAUCGAGUCGGCCACGGAUACUGGGUUGCUCGAGCACUGUAGGGGCAGAUGGAAUUCCGGGUGUAGCGGUGGAAUGCGUAGAGAUCCGGAAGAACACCGGUGGCGAAGGCGGUCUGCUGGGCAGUUGCUGACACUGAGGCGCGACAGCGUGGGGAGCAAACAGG
rnacentral:rRNA from 1 species